CCCUUAGAUGUCCUGGGCUGCACACGCGCUACACUGAUGUGUCCAGUAAGCACCUAACCUAUUCCGAGAGGAGCGGGUAACCUUAGCAAAGCACAUCGUGAUGGGGAUAGAUUAUUGCAAUUAUUAGUCUUGAACGAGGAAUUCCUAGUAAGCACAAGUCAUCAGCUUGUGUUGAUUACGUCCCUGCCCUUUGUACACACCGCCCGUCGCUCCUACCGAUUGAAUGUUCCGGUGAGCUCUUCGGACUGCGCGGUCUGCAGUUUCUGCGUUCCGUGCGGAAAGUUGUGCAAACCUUAACAUUUAGAGGAAGGAGAAGUCGUAACA
rnacentral:rRNA from 1 species